GCGGGUGCGAGUGCUGCCUUGUAGCGGCAUUAGCCUGCUCUUUUUCGAAAUCUACAAGGAUGUCUUUAACGUGCAAGAGAUAUGGCUCUCUCUUAACACGGCUCAGCCAUUUAUAGUCCCCUUCCGACGGACUAUCAUCGUUUCCUCAAGACCAUACUCGCAAAUGGUGUCAAGGGAGCGCCGAAAAUUCAGUCCCUGAAAUUUUCAUCCCAG
rnacentral:lncRNA from 1 species